GACGAACGCUGGCGGCGUGCUUAACACAUGCAAGUCGAACGGAAAGGCCCUGCUUUUUUGGGCUGCUCGAGUGGCGACCGGGUGAGUAACACGUGAGUAACCUGCCCUUGACUUUGGGAUAACUUCAGGCAACUGGGGCUAAUACCGGAUAGGAGCUCCUGCUGCAUGGUGGGGGUUGGAAAGUUUCGGCGGUUGGGGAUGGACUCGCGGCUUAUCAGCUUGUUGGUGGGGUAGUGGCUUACCAAGGCUUUGACGGGUAGCCGGCCUGAGAGGGUGACCGGCCACACUGGGACUGAGAUACGGCCCAGACUCCUACGGGAGGCAGCAGUGGGGAAUAUUGCACAAUGGGCGGAAGCCUGAUGCAGCAACGCCGCGUGCGGGAUGACGGCAUUCGGGUUGUAAACCGCUUUCGCCUGUGACGAAGCGUGAGUGACGGUAAUGGGUAAAGAAGCUCCGGCUAACUACGUG
rnacentral:rRNA from 1 species